rnacentral:rRNA from 1 species
GUGGGGAAUAUUGCACAAUGGGGGAAACCCUGAUGCAGCAACGCCGCGUGAGUGAUGAAGGUUUUCGGAUCGUAAAGCUCUGUCUUUGGGGAAGAUAAUGACGGUACCCAAGGAGGAAGCCACGGCUAACUACGUGCCAGCAGCCGCGGUAAUACGUAGGUGGCGAGCGUUAUCCGGAUUUACUGGGCGUAAAGGGAGCGUAGGCGGAUGAUUAAGUGGGAUGUGAAAUACCCGGGCUCAACUUGGGUGCUGCAUUCCAAACUGGUUAUCUAGAGUGCAGGAGAGGAGAGUGGAAUUCCUAGUGUAGCGGUGAAAUGCGUAGAGAUUAGGAAGAACACCAGUGGCGAAGGCGACUCUCUGGACUGUAACUGACGCUGAGGCUCGAAAGCGUGGGGAGCAAACAGGAUUAGAAACCCCAGUAGUCC